AAUCAACUCUUAAAACACUUCCCCCCACCCCUCCCAUCUUCCCGGGCUCAACUUCACUCCCGGCUUCAACCUCCCCCCCCUCAGUGGCACAGGGGGACGGGGAAUGGGGGUUACGGUCAGUUCAUCUCACGGUGUUUCUGCCGCUUCUUCAUCCUCAGGGGGAGGACUCCUCUCAUCCUUCCCCUGCUCCAGCAUGGAGUCCCUCUCACGGGGUGCAGACCUUCAGGAGCAAACUGCUCCAGCGUGGGGUCCCCCACGGGGUCACAAGUCCUGCCAGCAAACCUGCCCUGGCAGUGGGUCCCCCACAGGGUCACAAGUCCUGCCAGCAAACCUGCUCUGGCCAUGGGUCCCCCAUGGGGUCACAAGUCCUGCCAGCAAACCUGCCCUGGCGUGGACUCCCCUCUUCAUGGGUCCACCGGUCCGGCCAGGAACUUGCUCCAGCGUGGGCUUCCCAUGGGCCGCAGCCUCCUUCAGGUGCCUCCACCUGCUCCGGCGUGGGGUCCUCCACGGGCUGCAGGUGGAAUCGCUACACCCCCUCAUCCUUCCUCCAUGGGCUGCAGGGGGACAGCCUGCUUCACCAUGGUCUUCACCACGGGCUGCAGGGGGAUCUCUGCUCCGGCGCCUGGAGCACCUCCUGCCCCUCCUUCUGCACUGACCUUGGUGUCUGCAGAGUUUCUUACAUCUUCUCACUCCU